CGCAGCUAUCAUGCAGUCGAGGGGCAGCAGGGUGGUAGCAAUACCACUGCUGGCGACCGGCAAACGGGUACGGAACACGUACGCAACUUACCCUGAACUGGGGCAUAGCCCGGGGAAACCCGGAUUAAUACCCCGUAACACUGUGGGGCGGCAUCGCCUUAUGGUUAAAGCUUUUUGUGGUUCAGGAUGGGCGUGCGGCUGAUUAGGUAGUUGGUUGGGGUAACGGCCCACCAAGCCAACGAUCAGUAACUGGUGUGAGAGCACGACCAGUCACACGGGCACUGAGACACGGGCCCGACUCCUACGGGAGGCAGCAGUAAGGAAUAUUGGGCAAUGGAGGCAACUCUGACCCAGCCAUGCCGCGUGGAGGAUGAAGGCCCUCUGGAUUGUAAACUUCUUUUACUUGGGACGAAACCACUUUUUUCUAAGGGUGUUGACGGUACCAAGGGAAUAAGCACCGGCUAACUCCGUGCCAGCAGCCGCGGUAAUACGGAGGGUGCAAGCGUUAUCCGGAUUCACUGGGUUUAAAGGGUGCGUAGGCGGGCAGGUAAGUCCGUGGUGAAAUCUCCGAGCUUAACUCGGAAACUGCCAUGGAUACUAUUUGUCUUGAAUACUGUGAAGGUGAGCGGAAUAUGUCAUGUAGCGGUGAAAUGCUUAGAUAUGACAUAGAACACCAAUUGCGAAGGCAGCUCACUGCGCAGUGAUUGACGCUGAGGCACGAAAGCGUGGGGAUCAAACAGGAUUAGAUACCCUGGUAGUCCACGCCCUAAACGAUGGAUACUCGACAUACGUGAUAUGACUAUGUGUGUCUGAGCGAAAGCAUUAAGUAUCCCACCUGGGAAGUACGACC
rnacentral:rRNA from 1 species